CCCUUGAUAAAUCUGCCCCUGGAUGUAAUAAAACCUCUUAAUGAUAAAGUUGUUAUGUUUGCUCCAAAGGUUUACGCUAUCUUUAAGCAGGUGUUAUAGGUUCGCAAUGAACAAUUAAUAUUCGCAAUGCAAUAAAAAGUAUAUUGGAGAAUAUUACAUUUCAACAUGCACAUUUUUAUUUUUAUUCGUAAACAAAUUUGUUCUCCUUAAAGUUCUAUUGGAUAGGGUGAUGAGUGAAGUUGUAAGGGAAUAAAUUCCAUAGUUAGGAAAUGCCCUUAUAGGCGUGCAUAUGAGAAUGUUACUGGGGGUGGAAAGUCUGAGAUCACUGGAGAAAUGAAGUGGUCAGUUUGGGAAGAACCUGGAGAUAAGGUUUGUGAUGUAAGGUGGGUUUUGAGGCACAGGGAAUGUUGUUAGGUGCCGUCAAUAUAUUUCAAAAGGUGCCAGUGUUGUAAACAAUUUGCUCCAUCUCACCACUAAAGAUUAAAAUUUGUUAUAUUAAAAAUAUACAAAAGAAAUCGUAGUAUAAAAUGUUUGUGGAAGUUACAUUUUAUCUCUUAAUCAUUAAAUAUUUCAUUUUUAUUUUACAGUGGAACAUGAAGUCGUUCUGGUGGAAAGUGAGACAACGGUUAAUUUAUUACAACCUGCUGGAAAACCAGAACAUUCCACACUAACUCCAUCUUCAAGCAACGAGAAUGAUGAGCAAUAUUGCAUUCUUCGGAAGGGGAGAGCUCUCUAUGACAUUAUUGACUGUGUCCCUGUCAAGCGCUGGAAAGAAUUCAUGAGAACCCUUGAACUUCCGGACAAAGAAAUCGAAAUCGUGGAGAUAGAAUGCCGCAAUUUUCGAGAUCAGCAGUAUGAAAUGCUCAGGAGGUGGUGCCAGUUCAAUAUGGCAGUUGUGGAAACAAUAUACCAGGCCUUGGAGAGGAUGAAUCUAUCAGGGCGUGCAGAUGAGCUCAGACAAAAGAUUGAAAGUUAUACCUAACUUGAUGGUGCUGGAAUAUCAGCUUCAUUCUCAGGACACACUAACGGGUCCCUAUGGAGGACCACUAUUGAAAGGAUCUGCCUCAAGAGCCAGAUAUUUUUUUGAUAAACGCUAACCACUUUUAUCAAAUGUAAUGCCAAGAAAAUCAAAAUAAUCGGCAAACACGAAUGGAAGCUGGAAGAAGAAGAGUCUAACAUUGAGUUUAAUAAGAUCUUUCAGCCAAAAGAGAACUUGGAGAUAUUGUUCUGUUCUGGUGCCGGUGGUGCCUAUUUAAGAAGCAACUGAGUCACAUGACUGCCAACUAGGAACAAUUAUCUGGCAACAUUUAAGAAUGUGAAUAGUAGAUAAUUAAAAGAACGAAUACAUCUACUUAUUUAAAUAGUUGAAGAAUAUUCACCUGGAAAUCCAAUGGUCAUGAGUAGCCAUCUAAGAGGCAGAUGUGAACCCUCCCCGCCCACUAGCCAGACUUCUUUGUAUUGGAAUACAGAACGAUUACAUAGAGAAUAUUGGACAGCACUGCCUUUAGACACAAUAUAUAUGAAUGUCAAAGAAGCACAUGAAUAUUUAUUUUUCAUACAAGCCCUCAAAUAUAAUGACUGUGCUGCAGAAAGGUAUAGAGAAACUUUGCCCUGUAUAUCAGCAAAGCAAUACUUGUAAUUACAUAUUGUAAAUGAUCAUAUGUAGUGAUGGGCAAAUUUGGGGCGUUUCGCAGAAAAAUUAGUGAAUUUCCAGUGAAAUACGCCAAACUGCGA